rnacentral:rRNA from 1 species
GAUGAACGCUAGCUACAGGCUUAACACAUGCAAGUCGAGGGGCAGCAUGAACUUAGCUUGCUAAGUUUGAUGGCGACCGGCGCACGGGUGAGUAACACGUAUCCAACCUUCCGUUUACUCAGGGAUAGCCUUUCGAAAGAAAGAUUAAUACCUGAUAGUAUGGUGAGAUUGCAUGAUAACACCAUUAAAGAUUUAUUGGUAAACGAUGGGGAUGCGUUCCAUUAGGUAGUAGGCGGGGUAACGGCCCACCUAGCCUGCGAUGGAUAGGGGUUCUGAGAGGAAGGUCCCCCACAUUGGAACUGAGACACGGUCCAAACUCCUACGGGAGGCAGCAGUGAGGAAUAUUGGUCAAAUGGGCGAGAGCCUGAACCAGCCAAGUAGCGUGAAGGAUGAAGGUCCUACGGAUUGUAAACUUCUUUUAUACGGGAAUAAAGUUUCCUACGUGUAGGAUUUUGUAUGUACCGUAUGAAUAAGCAUCGGCUAACUCCGUGCCAGCAGCC